GAUGAACGCUGGCGGCGUGCCUAAUACAUGCAAGUCGAGCGAACAGACGAGGAGCUUGCUCCUCUGACGUUAGCGGCGGACGGGUGAGUAACACGUGGAUAACCUACCUAUAAGACUGGGAUAACUUCGGGAAACCGGAGCUAAUACCGGAUAAUAUAUUGAACCGCAUGGUUCAAUAGUGAAAGACGGUUUUGCUGUCACUUAUAGAUGGAUCCGCGCCGCAUUAGCUAGUUGGUAAGGUAACGGCUUACCAAGGCGACGAUGCGUAGCCGACCUGAGAGGUUGAUCGGCCACACUGGAACUGAGACACGGUCCAGACUCCUACGGGAGGCAGCAGUAGGGAAUCUUCCGCAAUGGGCGAAAGCCUGACAGUGCAACGCCGCGUGAGUGAUGAAGGUCUUCGGAUCGUAAAACUCUGUUAUUAGGGAAGAACAAAUGUGUAAGUAACUAUGCACGUCUUGACGGUACCUAAUCAGAAAGCCACGGCUAACUACGUG
rnacentral:rRNA from 1 species